ACUCCUACGGGAGGCAGCAGUGGGGAAUCUUAGACAAUGGGGGCAACCCUGAUCUAGCCAUGCCGCGUGAGUGAUGAAGGCCUUAGGGUUGUAAAGCUCUUUCAGCUGGGAAGAUAAUGACGGAACCAGCAGAAGAAGCCCCGGCUAACUCCGUGCCAGCAGCCGCGGUAAUACGGAGGGGGCUAGCGUUGUUCGGAAUUACUGGGCGUAAAGGGCACGCAGGCGGUCUUGCCAGUCAGGGGUGAAAUCCCGGGGCUCAACCUCGGAACUGCCUCCAAAACUCCCAGCCUAGAGGUCGAGAGAGGUGAGUGGAAUUCCGAGUGUAGAGGUGAAAUUCGUAGAUAUUCGGAGGAACACCAGUGGCGAAGGCGGCUCACUGGCUCGAUACUGACGCUGAGGUGCGAAAGUGUGGGGAGCAAUCAGGAUUAGAUACCCUGGUAGUCCACACCGUAAAC
rnacentral:rRNA from 1 species